CUACAUUUUGCAAAAAGGAAUAAUAUUUGCUUUUGAGAAUCAGCCUUGUUGAAGUGCACCGUGGACUUGAACUUCGCCGUGUCUCGAGCUUCGGCGGAGCCAUGGAAUGGUGGAGAGGCUGCAAACUCGACUCCUCCAACGCAUAUCGAACCUGGAAUCUUUUCUUCUCUCUAUAUCAACUUCCAACACCACCAAUGAUCGCCUUUCCGGCAUUCUUCGCGCGAACGGCGUCAAUGAUUUCAGCUUCAAGCGCGUCCCGUCUGAUUAGUAUGAUUGGACGCUCGAAGCCCGAUGUGACAGUGUCAGUGCAGCAUCCAUUCACUAUCUCUGCAAAAGCAUCAUUCUGAAUAAGCAGAAGAAGGUUGCUUACAUUUCAGUACAAGCUUGGUAUUUGCUACAGUAUUGUAUAAAUGCAAAACGAUAUCUAGCUUUUUGGAUGGUGAAAGACGAAAAUUAGUAAUAAGGUAUCAAUUGGACAGGGAAAAUGUAAAAAUCUGUGAAAAGUUAAUGUGUCAUGCGUUGAGUUAUCUGUUAAAGAAGUGCUGAAUCAAAUAUGUAUAUGGAGCUUUCAUGACGUUGCUGCGAAGGAUUUGAAGGUAUUAAGAAAUUUAUCUUUAAAUGAAUGAAAUAACCGAUACAUGGAGAUUGUGCUUUCUCUUUUUUCUUUUGGUGUAUAAAAUUGAACAUCUUACUGACUUCAAAGAGAAAGAAAAUGGUGAACAUCUUGUGUUGCUGGACAGUGGAGUAGACGUUAUGAUAGUCCUACUCUCACGGAACUGCUGAAGUAUUUCAAUAGUGGAGAUUACGCUGUCAAAACUAUUUGCAGUUACUGUGAUGUUGGAAUGGGACUUGUCAUGAAAUAAAAAAGAAACAGCAUCAUAUCCUGGAUUGAGGAAAUACUAAACUAUCUACAAAGGAAAAUUGGCGAGAUAUUGAUUGCAUUAGUUGCAGACUUGCAGGAUCCUAUUAUGAGUUAGGCUUGACAUGUGUAGUGUAAAUGAAGAACAUGAUUCGGAAGCAGAGUUUUUUUUUCUUUUGCUAUCAUGAUAUACCUACUGAUAUGGCAUGUGUAUCGCAUUCUUGUUAUAUAAGAGCAUUGCUUUAUACUGUCAACUUUCAAUGUACUGGAAAGAUGAGUUAAACUGGUUCAGAUCCAAUGUACCUAAUAAGAAACUUUACUGAGAGAACAUGUAUGAAGAACAGAUGAUUGGAACUGCUAGGGCAUCAUCUGAUGUCUAACUUAUUAAUUCCUGCUUAGUAGGAGAGACAUUCUUCAAAUAUGUUCUGCAAUGAGAGAAAAAGGUCUUGAUAAUGACAUUAUAAAAAGGAAGUUGAUGGUUUUUAGAUUUU